UACGUAGGGUGCAAGCGUUAAUCGGAAUUACUGGGCGUAAAGCGUGCGCAGGCGGUGAUGUAAGACAGUUGUGAAAUCCCCGGGCUCAACCUGGGAAUUGCGAUGGAGACUGCAAGGCUAGAAUCUGGCAGAGGGGGUAGAAUUCACGUGUGAGCAGUGAAAUGCGUAGAGAUGUGGAGGAACACCGAUGGCGAAGGCAGCCCCCUGGGUCAAGAUUGACGCUCAUGCACGAAAGGCGUGGG
rnacentral:rRNA from 1 species